rnacentral:rRNA from 1 species
CGGGUGAGUAACACGUGGGUUACCUACCCCGAUGAUUGGGACAACCCGAGGAAACUCGGGCUAAUACCAAAUGUGCUCCUGGCCAUAAUGGCCUUGAGGAAAGGAAGCUUCGGCCUCCGCAUCGGGAUGGGCCCGCGGCCCAUUAGCUAGUUGGUGGGGUAACGGCCUACCAAGGCGACGAUGGGUAGCUGGUCUGAGAGGACGAUCAGCCACACUGGGACUGAGACACGGCCCAG